UACGGAGGGUGCUAGCGUUGUUCGGAAUUACUGGGCGUAAAGCGCACGUAGGCGGCGAUUUAAGUUAGAGGUGAAAGCCCGGGGCUCAACUCCGGAAUAGCCUUUGAGACUGGAUUGCUUGAGUCUUGGAGAGGUGAGUGGAAUUCCGAGUGUAGCGGUGAAAUUCGUAGAUAUUCGGAGGAACACCAGUGGCGAAGGCGGCUCACUGGACAAGUAUUGACGCUGAGGUGCGAAAGCGUGGGGAGCAAACAGG
rnacentral:rRNA from 1 species